rnacentral:ncRNA from 1 species
AAAAAAGCGAUGAAUGGAAAGAGUACCACAGAAAUUUUUUACAGAGAAAGAGGGUCAUCGGCUGGAAGCCUUCUAAAAAGGAAUGUGUGAAAGUGCCUCCAGAAGCUGACAGCUAAUCCCUGUUCGUAAUCCUGCGUUAAAGGAAGAAAAGCGGAGGAAUGUAUCCUCAAGUAGAGUGGAACCGCGGAAUAUUUCGUCUCUAUA